rnacentral:lncRNA from 1 species
CAUAAAUCAAAUAGAACAUUGGAAUGUUGAAGUGAAGGAUCAGAAAGAAAAAUAUCUUGAAAUGCCAAAAUUAAAAUUUUCUAAUAAGUAUAGAGAUAUUUCAAAGUGACCAAAAUAUUAAAUUCAAAAAGCUUUGAUAUCACUGGUUGUUUUGUAUUUUCCUACAAGGGUUCACUAAUUACCCUACAAUGGUACCAUCUUGGAGUAGUGUCGGUAGAUAUGCCCGGGAUGGGAUGGGCUUGAUGUACCGAUACUCCGUACACCCCCUACUGCGUAACAGUUUGAUACCAAUAUAAUAAGGUAUGCCCCAAGGUUCGCCAUACCGGUACUGAACCCCGUACUGGUGCCGCACUAGCAUAGGCGUACCAAGUGUUGGUACGGUACGGUACGCGGUACGUCAGGCGUACCAUUAGCAUAGGCGUACCGAGUGUCGGUACAACAUACCAUGGUAUGCCCGAUAUGCACCAGUAUGGACUGGUAUGGCACACUAUGCUAAAACCAAUGUUUUAAAUCCCUUGAGAUGGGGUGUCCCAGUUUUUCAAGGAAUAGGAUGCCUUGCUAUCCCACCCCAUCCUGGCAGCGGUCUCGGUCAAACGUCUCAGUAAAUAUCCUCCGUCUCUCUCCCUUUCUUCUUCUUUUCUUUCUUUCUUCUUUCA